CAGUAGCCACGGUAAUACGUAGGUCCCGAGCGUUGUCCGGAUUUAUUGGGCGUAAAGCGAGCGCAGGCGGUUUAAUAAGUCUGAUGUGAAAGCCCACGGCUCAACCGUGGAGGGUCAUUGGAAACUGUUAAACUUGAGUGCAGGAGAGAAAAGUGGAAUUCCUAGUGUAGCGGUGAAAUGCGCAGAGAUUAGGAGGAACACCAGUGGCGAAGGCGGCUUUUUGGCCUGUAACUGACACUGAGGCGCGAAAGCGUGGGGAGCAAACAGGAUUAGAUACCCGCGUAGUCCCUGUCUCUUAUAU
rnacentral:rRNA from 1 species